rnacentral:lncRNA from 1 species
GGCAUGUUAUUCGGGCUGAUUUGAGAACGAGGUUUGCUUGUUGCUUGUAAAGAAGCGGCAGGAGACCAACGCAGAUUUUUUUUUAGUCGGGAAGGGAAGAGGCAUGCAUGAAGAGCGCUGUAGUUCCUGGAAACGCAGCAUUUUGUACAGCCCAGUAAAUGUAGGCAUGGAGCCUGUGGCAACUCAUGUCUGUUCUGAACAUGGGGUGCAAACGUGGAGUCAGUGGCUACACAUGUCCAAUCUGAAGUGA